GUGACCGCCAUUUUGAUAGCACACUGAGAAAGAAAACUUCUGACAUUUCCCCCCUCAAAUCCUCAAUUUAAACAAGACGACUUGCUUUCGGGUUGCAUGCCGGGAGCAGAGCUGCCAGUACAAGAAAGCAGAAUCUCUCCCCAAAUUGACUUAUGGCCACUCCACACACUCAUUGAUAGUGUCAUCAGUCAUCAUAUGCUAACCAUCUGGAGAUCAGAAAGAUCCAGCUGAAGAUGUUGGUGACGUCAGUGUUUGUCCAGGGAUGUUGUUGCUGAACUUGAUCCACUUACCUGGACAUGGAUGCAUUCAUAGCUAGUGCUGGAUAGGGGUGACGGAAUCCCCCUGGAGGGAUGGAGUACAUGUGCUGGCCCUGCCUGGGAUAUAGAAGAAAAAUGUAAGGUAUAUCACACACAGCUGACAGUAAACCCAGCAGAACUAAUCCCCUACUCAUCAACUCGAAUCCCCUGCUUGUGGAAAAGCACCAUGGCAAAUGAUUCCACGACUCCCGGAAUAAUUCCUAUUGUCCUUUAACUGAUACUUUAGGUGUAUUUUUUUAUCACAAACAUUUUUGUUCUGGCAUUGUAAAUUGCUUUCAACAUUUAGCUUUUUUUGUGUGUGGUAAGAAACUU